AUGAAAAUGAUGAGCUGGAACUGUCGAGGCUUGGGUCAGCCUUGGACAGUCCAAGAACUUGUGUGUCUCUCAAAGAUGCAUCGACCCAAUGUUAUCUUUCUUUCCGAAACUAGACAAAAUAAAAAGUAUGUUGAGAGUUUGCGUUAUCGAUUGGGCUUGAAAUAUGUUUAUAUUGUUUCUGUACAAGGAAAAGGUGGGGGCCUGGCAGUUUUUUGGGAUGAGAAU
rnacentral:rRNA from 1 species